rnacentral:rRNA from 1 species
AACGAACGCUGGCGGCAUGCCUAACACAUGCAAGUCGAACGAGACCUUCGGGUCUAGUGGCGCACGGGUGCGUAACGCGUGGGAACCUGCCCUUAGGUUCGGAAUAACUCCCCGAAAGGGGUGCUAAUACCGGAUAAUGUCUUCGGACCAAAGUUUUAUCGCCUUUGGAUGGGCCCGCGUUGGAUUAGCUAGUUGGUAGGGUAAAAGCCUACCAAGGCGACGAUCCAUAGCUGGUCUGAGAGGAUGAUCAGCCACACUGGGACUGAGACACGGCCCAGACUCCUACGGGGGGCAGCAGGGGGGAAUUUUGGAAAAGGGGCCAAACCCUGCUCCAGCAAUGCCGGGUGAGGGAUGAAGGCCUUGGGGUUGUAAAGCUCUUUUCCCCGGGAUGAUAAUGACAGUACCGGGAGAAUAAGCCCCGGCUAACUCCGU